rnacentral:rRNA from 1 species
UACGGGGGGGGCAAGCGUUGUUCGGAAUUACUGGGCGUAAAGGGCUCGUAGGCGGCCAACUAAGUCAGACGUGAAAUCCCUCGGCUUAACCGGGGAACUGCGUCUGAUACUGGAUGGCUUGAGUUUGGGAGAGGGAUGCGGAAUUCCAGGUGUAGCGGUGAAAUGCGUAGAUAUCUGGAGGAACACCGGUGGCGAAGGCGGCAUCCUGGACCAACACUGACACUGAGGAGCGAAAGCCAGGGGAGCAAAAGCGGG